rnacentral:rRNA from 1 species
AACGAACGCUGGCGGCAUGCCUAACACAUGCAAGUCGAACGAGACCUUCGGGUCUAGUGGCGCACGGGUGCGUAACGCGUGGGAAUCUGCCCUUGGGUUCGGAAUAACAGCGAGAAAUUGCUGCUAAUACCGGAUGAUGACGUAAGUCCAAAGAUUUAUCGCCCAAGGAUGAGCCCGCGUAGGAUUAGCUAGUUGGUGAGGUAAAGGCUCACCAAGGCGACGAUCCUUAGCUGGUCUGAGAGGAUGAUCAGCCACACUGGGACUGAGACACGGCCCAGACUCCUACGGGAGGCAGCAGUGGGGAAUAUUGGACAAUGGGCGAAAGCCUGAUCCAGCAAUGCCGCGUGAGUGAUGAAGGCCUUAGGGUUGUAAAGCUCUUUACCGGGAUGAUAAUGACAGUACCGGGAGAAUAAGACUCCGGCUAACUCCGUGCCAGCAGCCGCGGUAAU